rnacentral:rRNA from 1 species
GAUGAACGCUAGCUACAGGCCUAACACAUGCAAGUCGAGGGACCGGCGCACGGGUGAGUAAUACGUAUCCAUCCUGCCCUUUACUCGGGGAUAGCCUUUCGAAAGAAAGAUUAAUACCCGAUCUAAUGGAGGGGGAUGCGUUCCAUUAGGUUGUUGGUGAGGUCACGGCCUACCAAGCCUUCGAUGGCUAGGGGUGCUGAGAGGAAGGUCCACCACAAUGGAGCUGAGGCACGGUCCAAACUCCGACGGGAGGCAAGAGUUAGGAAUAUUAGUGAAUGAGCGUUAGCCUGAACCAGCCAAGUAGCGUGAAGAAGGAUGGCGUAUGGAUCGUAAGCUUCUUUUGUAUAAGAAUCUGUAUUAUAUGAAUAAGGAUCGGCUAACUCCGUGCCAGCAGCCGCGGUAAUUC